rnacentral:lncRNA from 1 species
GUCCACACCCUGCCCACCCUCCCCUGCCUCUCAGGAGAGCAGCCAGCCGCUGGUCCUGGGGCAAGAGCCUCAGCCUCCGCGUAGGAAAGCAAGUCUGCCUUGUGGUCAGGAGCCUUGAGCUCAGCACUGAACAAGAGAGACACUUCACAUUUGGUGUCAUUACAGAGAAUGACUAAAUGCUUUUUUAAGUCCAUGUCUGGAUUCUGAAAUAAAUACCGUGUCCCAGGCUGGGUAGAGCAGCUGCCUCGGGAAGUAGGGGCAUGCCCAAAGCCCUCAACAGCCAGAGGCACGGCAGCACCACACAGCAGGAAGCCUUCACCAAGGUGCCGAUCAAGCUCACUUAUUCCUGGGUACGACAGACUCCAUAGAAAAAGACACAGAGGGUCCCAGCAGCUCCAAGUCAAUGGCAAGUGAGCACAGGGUCUAGCAGUUUUCAGAUUCAACAGUAGCCUGGCAAAGAGCAAGGGCCAGGCAGCCCUUCUGGGGUAGUGGUCAGAGCCCUGGUGGGGCUAACUGGGGACUGGAAAUGUCUGGACACUAGCUACAGGGGACAGGAAGAGCAUUCUGAGUGACUGAAGGAAGACCUUGAUGGGGAAGGGUGGAGUCUUGUUGAAAAUAAAGGCUUUGGAAGACAGGUCGCCAGGGGCGCUUAAAUUCAGCUCUUUGUGCUCUCCAGGGUGGGGACCCAGGCAAAGGUGCUAGCGGUUGAGGGUGUUCCUGCCAUGAGGCCCAUCAGGAGGGCCACUCUGGGCUGCUCAUACUGGGGUCCCGUCCACUCUGUCUUCUAGACCGCGGGUUCUGAGUGCCUGCCCCCACCCUGUAGGCCAGAGCACAAGGACUGCGCCAACCAGGGGACGCGGGGACUGGGGAGUCCUGCUCCUGGCUCCACUCUGCUUUCCUUCUAUAACGGGGUCCCGUCCACCCCGAGCCAGGGGCGCUAGCAUAGAAAGUCUCCCCUGGAGCCCCGUCUUGGUGCAGGUGGGUGGCAGACGGGGUCCCCUGUGGUGGCAACCUGGGGCAGUGUCUGGGGCUCUGGCCGCCACCCCCUCUCUCCUGCCCACCUCCUGCCAGUGCUUAGACACAGGGUGCCUGACACAGACCACCAGACCCCAGGUGUCCCCAGGGUCCUACCCAGCCUCCAGCGCAGGCAGCCACCCGUCCCCUCCCCUCCCAGAGUCCUCCCAGUCUUCUGUCAGAAGCCCAGGCUCUGCCCAGUGACUGGUUUAGAGGCAUUUCCCCUUCUUGCUCUUUCAGCAGGAGCGAGCUUGCGGGGCUCAGCGUCAGCCUGCCUGAGACCCGGGCAGGAAGGGGUGGUGGCUGCCCAGGCAGAGAGGGUGGGUACCUCCAGGGAGAAACGGCUUGCUUCACCCAGGAAGUGGACUGGGGUUGGCAGGCGGGCGGGGCAGGUGUCCCGUGGGUACCCACAGGGGGACAGACGCUGUCCUCAGUGCUGGCCUGCAGUCCCCUCUCCUCCCACCUCUCUGGACCCCCUCCCCAUGCAGCGGCCACAGGAGGCCACUUGCCCACCUCAGGCUGCUGCAGAUUGCAGAAUCAGCUGAAGGACCCCUGUGCUCCCCCUUCCCCUUAGCCCUCCAGCCGUAGUGUAGCCACCAGAGUCCCAAGGUCCCUGCAGGGUCAGAGGCCCCCAAAUUCUAAAACUCAACCACUGGUUCACUUGGCCUGGUCCUCAGUCUCUAUGCACCAGACCCUCGAUCCCCCAUGUUCCUGACACUGACCCAGGACACCAAGGUCAGUAGGGUGGGCUGGGCUGCAGCUCCUCAGGAUCUGCCCAACGGUGGCUCAGUUAGAGGGGGCACCCCACCCGGAAGUGUCCCAGAGGCAGUUCAAUCCCACGGCUUCCCCAGGUACCCCUUCCCAGGCUUGCCAUGGACGGCCCCCUGAGAACCUGCCAGUGCCCAGCAGCACCGGGGGCCCCUUCCCACCAUCCUCGCUAGAAAGUAACUCCUAGACUUGGGUUGGGGCCUGCUUGGCAGAGGAGCUGGAGGGGAGGAAGCCCCCUGCCUGCUGGAGGUCCCGAGCACGCAGCCAGGGCCCCCUCCAUGGGGCUGGACGGGGCUUCCACCUGCUCCUGUUCUCAGUCCUGCAAAAGCCCGGGCUUCUCCCAGGAUCCUCUCCUGGGAGGGAGGUGAGUCAGUCCCCAGCCCACCCACGGCCUUGGGUCCCCAGGAGGGUGGGAUCCCUGUGCAGGGAGCCCCACCUGUGCCAGGUGCAGCGGGCCCCACAUCCUCAGAAACACUCCUCAGGGCCGAGUCCGUCUCAGCAGGAGGUGACCGGCUCCCAGCCUCCCUUCCUGCGGCCUUCUGCAGGCGGUGACCAUCUUUCCAUUCCACACCCAGAGGCUGCUCUCCACUGGCCUGAGGAUCCUGCUUCCAGCCGCUGUAUCUCAGGUUCCCACCCAAGUGGGGGGCUCAGUGGGGUGCACAGGACAGGGGCUUGGAGCCCCGUGGAGAGGGGCUGGGGACGAGGGCCACCGUCUCACCCUAUCAGGUGUGUUCCAGGUAAAUGUCAUCAACAAUGCCCAGCAGCUCUGCAGGGGAAUCAUGGGGAGCUUCUGGGCGCCCUGAAACCCCAGGCGCCCUCUGCCGAGGAGUCUCCCCUUGGCUCUGCCCCCAGGGCAGCACCUCUGGCUCCAGCCUCUACCCCCGGCACCACCCCAGAGCCAACCACAGCGAAGGCACUUUGCCCCUGCCCCCCUGGCCUCCUGUGUGUCCUCCUGAACCUGAAUGUGGACACUGUGUCCCUCCUCCUACAGAGACAGAAAAGGGACCCUCGGGCUUCAAGAGAGCACCCAGGUACCAGGAGCCCCGGUGGUUCCUAGUGCUUGUCUUGGGCAAAGUCCCCUGAGUCCAGGGCUGGGCCUGCACUGGCCCCACAGCCCAGUCAGUCUGUCUGUCUCUCUGGCCCCUCAUCACAGGACGCACAGACUUGUAAGGGCUUAUUUUUCCUUGAAAUUGAAAUUUAUUUGGCUUUUGCCAGGUUGGCCGAGCUGCAGCAGGAUGAGAUGGGCACAGGUAGCCUUGGACAAGGACGAGCCCAACCUGGACCCUCCUGGGCUCCAUGCUCUGUAGCUGGCCCUGGCUCCUGACCCAGGCUCGGGCCUCAGCCCUGGACCUUAGCAGAUGGAGUCUGUCCCAGGAGCUCCGCUGAUGAGCCCCAACUGUCCACUUUUCCUUCUGCUGUGGGUGGGCAGGCCUCUGUCUGGUGGCCACUGCCCCACAGACUGCCUACAGAAGGACCCCUGGAGAGGGUUGGGGCACUGCUGACCACCCAUCCUGGAAGAGUCACUAAGUAGCUCGAGGGGGCAGGAGGACCUCGCAGUCGACCAGGCCCACUCCAGCCAGCCAUGGUCUUGCACACGGGCUGCCCAUUCUCCCCCACGCCCACCCAGGGGUGAGGCAGGCUGUGUGGGCUGGGCUUGCUGGGCAGCCCUGGGUAUCAGCCUGUCCUCUCUGGGCCUCAGGUGCCACCUCUCUCCACAGGGCAGGUUGGUGGGCCCAACCCUGGGAGUUUCGGGGACACCAGGGGUGAGGAGAGCUGAGCUCGGGGCUCUGUCCCCACCCCGUUCUGCCAAGUUAAUUCAGCCAUAAUAUGGGGCACCUGGUGGCCCCUCUCAGGGAGAAUUGAGCACCUGUUGAAGACGACGUGCCCGUCGAGGGGAGAGGAUGAGAGCGCAGAGCAUCCAGGGAAGGUUCUGGCCAGGCGGGAAGGUCCACAGGUCUCUCCUCGUCCCCCACCUCCCAGGGCCCCCAACUCAGCAGGGCUCCCUGUGCCCCCAUCCAGGGUGCCCCACCCACACGGCCUCCGCAGCCCUGCCUGGUCCACGUGAGAUGGUGCAGAGUCCCCCAUCUGGCUCUGGGGGAGAGGCCACCCCACACGGGCCACACAACCAAGGCCUGAUGACUGGAAGGCUCCCUGGGGCCCAGGAGGUGCGUCCACUGCAGAGAAGGGUCCACCAUGGAGGAGGGGCUGCUCUGCACGGGAUGAGCAGAGUGGGCAACAAGGACGCAGGUGCUGCAGCCCUGGGCUCUGGGGCUCAGUGACAGGCAGUUGUCCCUUCCCAGACGAGGACCCCCCCAGCUUCAGCUCCACCAGAUUAGGCAGACCCUGUGCCCUGCUGUGCCCACUGCCACCCUGUCGGUCACUGCUCACAUCUGCCCAGGUUGGCUCUGGCGAGACCCACUCCACCCAGGACCAUCCCAGGCAGAGCCAGGGCAGCCCUGUCGGCCAGCCUGGCACCCAGCCCACAGCAACCUCCCAAGUGUUUGCUGGGUAAUCAAUGAAUAAAUGAGGCCCCUCCUGGGUGCUCAGCAAACACUGUCUGAACAGGAGCGUUGCCACCAAUGUGGCCACCGUCGGUGCACACAGGUCGUAAGAGGCCGAGUGCUGAUGGUCCACGAGGUUAGAGCCCUGAGCGCAGGGGCCCCCUGAGCACAGGGGCCAGGGAGAAGAGACUGCUGAGAGCCAAGCCAGACGCCCCUGCCCUCUGCGGCAACUCUGCACAUCAUGGGUCCUUGGGGUUCAAUGGAGCCUCUUUCUCUCUCUGUGACUCUGGAAGAGUCACUUAGCCUCUCUGAGCCUCCUACUGUGCACUGGUAUGAGGAGUGGAUUCAGGAGUCAGGUGAAAAGUGUGAACUGAAAGUCAUGGAGCGCAUCCCCCGAGCCUGGCCACUUAUAGCCCUCCUGUGGCGGUCAUGUGCACCGGGGCUGCCUCUGCAGAGAGGGCCCUGCAGGGGACAGCUGGCUGGGGGUCCCAGGCCUAUGGGUCUCAGCCUUCCCUGACAUAAGCGUCCUCAUCUCUGCUGCCCACACAAACCCUGGUCAGACACGGCCCUGUCUGGCCUCACCCCAAGGGCCCAGGUGACAGGCCCAGGUGACCGUCCACAGCAGGUGAGCAGGUGGAGACCAGGACCCGGGAGGGUGGUGAUGGCCCAGCUGACUCUGUCCCUUGUCUGACACUAUCCUGCAGCCAGUCCCUGGACGGUUUCUCAGAUGAGCAAAUGGAGAGCAGGGUUGGGGAGCCCAGCCGCUGGCCGGCGCUGGCCAGGGGCAGAGGAAAGGCUCCAGCUGGGUGUGGACACAAAGGGGUGGGGAGGAUUGGUGUCCCAGGCUGGGGCCACCUGGCCUGGCCUCAUCUGUGGUCACUGGGCCCCACCCUGUCGGGAUGGAGUCCUGGGCCCGUGGUCCCCUGUGGCUGCUGUGACCCUCGAGUCUCUGGCCCUGGCUGAGGGGUGUCAGGCCUGUGAAGCACAAAGCCCUGCGCAGACUGGCCUCCACCAGAGGGCCCGGCCGGGCAGGGGGCAGGGCCUCCCCCAGGGCUCUGGCUCUGUAUCGUUCACUGUUUCAUUCUCAACCGAGGGACAAGGCCAUCAGGGCCCAGAGGGGACGAGGUGGCUGGGAGCACCCGGACCCCACGGAGGGAGGACUGGUCAGUGGGGAAGGGAGCUCCUGGGGAGGGUUUUGUGUCCCUGGCAGGGGGAGGCGGGGCCAGGGCCUCCAUCCUGAACAGGGACUGGGGACACCUUGGGUAACAGGAUCUGCUGGGGAAGGGCACCAGCACCUCAGCCUGCAGGCUGGAGACCAGGGCUGGGCCAGCCGUCCUCCCUGCCCAUGAGCAGCCCACCCCAGUGCCUCAUGAGAGUUGAGAACCAAGGCCCCACACUUGUGGCUACGCCAUCGGAUGUCUCCAGCCCUGGGGACCCCAGCUGCCACCUAUCGAGACCCCACCUACAGGUCUGUGCACGUCCCGUGAGGCCCUUGAGUUAAAGGGUGCUGGGGGCAGGGAGAGUGUGGCUAAGGGGUACAAGCCAUCAGCGACCCGGGGAAACCUGAUGGCAGAUUUCACAUAAGUCACCCGCAGACCUGAAAACAUGGACUCACUUUGUCAAGUGGCUCUUGUCUGCUGGCAAAGAGCCAGGGCACAGGGACCGCUGGUUGCUGGAGGUGUGUGCAACCCCAGGGUGGCCAGAGGCUCUAGGUCAGCUCUGUGCCCGGCUCCUGAGGCCCUGAGGUUGCCCUCAUGACCAUUGCUGCCAGGACCAGCCCAGCACCCAGUUACUCCUCGUGAUGACCACAGCGGGUGGGCUGCUGGCCCCCUUUCCUGGGCUAGGAAACUGAGGCCCAGGGGAGGUGGUCUACGAGGUCACACAGCUGUGGUUGACCACCUGGAUUCAGGUGUGGUGAGCUGACAGCUCAAAGACAGGUGUUUCUGGAAAGACUGGCCAACUCGGGGCCUCCACCCAGAGAGAGGGCAGCACUGAGGACAGGGCAGGAGAUGGCAUGGUCCCCUCUGACCUGCCCUGAUACAGGAUGCCCAAGGCCAGCUGUUGGCCUGCCACACCCCAGACAACCCGAGAGAGAGAGAGAGAGAGAGAGAGAGAGAGAGAGAGAGAGAGUGUUGAGCACAGACGGGGGAGCCUGAGGUCAGCCUGACCCUGCAGUCUGCCCCGUCUGUGCUGGGAGGACGAGGACACCUCGGCAGCCCUGCCUGCCCCAGCAGGCCCUCAGUGAGAGGCGGCCACUCCACAGGGAUCCUAGAGGGGCCCUCUGCACAGGGGGCCAGCUCAGUGGCCCCAGCCAGGAGGUGGACACUGGGGUGGGGGUCACUGAGCAGGGCCCCUUCCUGGAGGGCGGUGAAGAUGGACACCGGGGUCCACCCGUCAGCUGAGGCAUUGGUCAAUCCAGAGGCUCAGCCCUGACCCUGGGGCCGCUGCGGAGGGCCAUUCCCCUAACACGGCCCUCAACUAUCUCUGGGCCUUGAACUUUCUAUUCUGUUUUGCAAUCGGCUCAGGAGGCGGCCUUUCUAAACUCCCUCCUUAUCGCUGGGAAACUUCUCGCCCACAAUAGCUGACUGUGCUGCUCUCCUGGGCGCGGCCGAGUCCCGCCCACCCCCUGUUCUUCGGUAGCUCGGGCACUAUAAUGGGUCCUAUUGUGGUCGGUCUGCAAAGCUCCGGUGUGGCCCUUGAGUUAAAGGGUGCUGGGGGCAGGGAGAGCGUGACUAAGGGGGUACAGGCCAUCAGCAACCCAGGGGAGCCUGACG